rnacentral:rRNA from 1 species
UACGUAGGGGGCUAGCGUUGUCCGGAAUCAUUGGGCGUAAAGCGCGUGUAGGCGGUCCGGUAAGUCCGCUGUGAAAGUCGAGGGCUCAACCCUCGAAUGCCGGUGGAUACUGUCGGGCUUGAGUACGGGAGAGGCGAGUGGAAUUCCUGGUGUAGCGGUGAAAUGCGCAGAUAUCAGGAGGAACACCGAUUGCGAAGGCAGCUCGCUGGAACGUUACUGACGCUGAGACGCGAAAGCGUUGGGGAGCAAACAGG